GCGCAGACGCUUCUCGUCCACUCAUUCACCCCGUUACUCAUCUCCUACCUCCAGCGAACAGCCAAAUCAAGUCGCCGGAGAAAUCACCAUGACCGCCCACAACCAGGGGCGCGCUCGUUGCCUUGUCCGCCGGCAACUGGAUGCAUGCCCUCUCCAUGGCAACCACAGCCAGGGCUUCAUUAGUUCACCAUGACCAAGCUGCAAUCGGCCAUGGCGGCGACGAGUUUGUCCUGGAGCCGGAGGGUUGCUGUUUUUUGUUUGCUAGAUCCACUCAUUUUCUUUGGUACAACUCUUUUCUUUUUUGCUGCCAUCCUCAUUUGAUUUGAUGAACUUUUUUCAUCUUUGCUGGAAGCGGUGUCCCGAUUUGCUGGAACCAGCUAGUGGAUGUGCUUCAAGGUUCACACCUCAUCGGAGGAAGCUGCAUCCAGUGGCGAGGAGGGCUGCAUCCAAUGUCGGUCAAACGCCGGGAGUUGCAACCAUGUAAGCUGGAGCUACAACCGGUGACCAGGGGAGCUGCAAGAAGGGGGUGGCCGUUUUUGCUGAUGUUUUUUUUACAGAACCAAAAUUUUGUUUUUGCUGGAACCGAUGUAUUGCUUUGCUGAAACAGAUGUACGAUGCAUGUCGAUGGAGGCCAGCAGAGACGGCUACGCCUGCGGCAAGCUCGACGGCGAGGACGGAGGGGGGUGGUGCACCAGAUGCUGCAACCGCGGGGGCGGGGAGCUUCAACCGCUGCCGACGGAGGCUCCGUGUCAGCCAUGGCCAAGUUUGGCGGGGGAUCUGACCACGACGGAAGCUGCAAACGAGUGAGAUGGUUGGGAGGAGCUGACACGCGGCGAAGGAGGCAACCGACGGCGAGGGCAGCAACCGGUGGCGAGGGCAGUGACCGGCGUCGGGGGUGGCCAAGCCGGGUGGUGCUUCGGGUUCGGGGGCCUCGCUCAUCCAUGGCGGCUAGAUGCGUACGCAGAGGAAGGAAGAAGAAGCUGCACGAUUUGUUUAUUUUUUUAUGCCCGGAUCCAACGGUCGCACGGCUCAAAUCCAACGAUCUGGGCUAGACCGGCGGAAUGUUUCGACCGGCGCGCCGGUGCGUAGCGCUGCCCUUAUUGAUUUCUGAGGCCGACCUUCCCUUGUGUACAACUAUAACUUGGUGCUGGUCUUUUUUAACUUUCUACUCUCUCCGUUCCUAAAUAUUUGUCUUUCUAGACAUUACAAAUGGACUAUCACAUACGAAUGUAUGUAGACAUAUUUUAGAGUGUAGAUUCACUCAUUCUGCUCCGUA